rnacentral:rRNA from 1 species
UGGGGAAUAUUGGACAAUGGGCGCAAGCCUGAUCCAGCCAUGCCGCGUGUGUGAAGAAGGCCUUUUGGUUGUAAAGCACUUUAAGCGAGGAGGAGGCUACUUGGAUUAAUACUCUAGGAUAGUGGACGUUACUCGCAGAAUAAGCACCGGCUAACUCUGUGCCAGCAGCCGCGGUAAUACAGAGGGUGCGAGCGUUAAUCGGAUUUACUGGGCGUAAAGCGUGCGUAGGCGGCUUUUUAAGUCGGAUGUGAAAUCCCUGAGCUUAACUUAGGAAUUGUAUUCGAUACUGGGAAGCUAGAGUAUGGGAGAGGAUGGUAGAAUUCCAGGUGUAGCGGUGAAAUGCGUAGAGAUCUGGAGGAAUACCGAUGGCGAAGGCAGCCAUCUGGCCUAAUACUGACGCUGAGGUACGAAAGCAUGGGGAGCAAACAGG